UACGGAGGGUGCGAGCGUUAAUCGGAAUUACUGGGCGUAAAGCGCGCGUAGGCGGUUGUGAUAGUCGGGUGUGAAAGCCCCGGGCUUAACCUGGGAAUUGCACUCGAUACUGCACAGCUAGAGUCUGGGAGAGGGAAGGGGAAUUCCGGGUGUAGCGGUGAAAUGCGUAGAUAUCCGGAGGAACACCAGUGGCGAAGGCGCCUUCCUGGCCUAAGACUGACGCUGAGGUGCGAAAGCGUGGGGAGCAAACAGG
rnacentral:misc_RNA from 1 species